UACGAAGGGGGCUAGCGUUGUUCGGAGUUACUGGGCGUAAAGGGUGUGUAGGCGGUUGUUUAAGUUUGGUGUGAAAUCUCCCGGCUCAACUGGGAGGGUGCGCCGAAUACUGAAUGACUCGAGUGUGGGAGAGGUGAGUGGAAUUCCUGGUGUAGCGGUGAAAUGCGUAGAUAUCAGGAGGAACACCGGUGGUGUAGACGGCUCACUGGACCAUAACUGACGCUGAGACACGAGAGCGUGGGUAGCAAACAGG
rnacentral:rRNA from 1 species